CCCCUAGAUGUUCUGGGCCGCACGCGCGCUACACUGAACAGUUCAACAAGUCUUAACCUUGGCCGAUAGGUCUGGGUAAUCUUUGAACGCUGUUCGUGAUUGGGAUAGACCUUUGCAAUUAUGGGUCUUCAACGAGGAAUUCCUAGUAAACGCACGUCAUCAGCUUGCAUUGAUUACGUCCCUGCCCUUUGUACACACCGCCCGUCGCACCUACCGAUUGAAUGGUCCGGUGAAAUCUCGGGACGGCGGCUUGGUCGCUUGCGUCCGACUGCUGAAACUUGAUUAAACCAUAUCAUUUAGAGGAAGGUGAAGUCGUAACA
rnacentral:rRNA from 1 species